GAUGAUGGCUCUGAUUGAACGCUAUCCAAGUGCUUGACACAUGCUAAUCGAACGUCUAAUUUAAUUAGAAAUAAUUUAAUUAGAAGUGGUGUACAGGUGAGUAAACGAUAUUAUGGCUACCUUGGAGUAAGGGACAUUAAAAUACCUUAUAUAAUACAAAAAAUAUGUAUAAAAAGAAAUUUAUUUUCGCUCCUAGAUGGAAAUUAAUAUCUCAGGCAGGUAGUAGUUAAGGUAAUGGCUUAACUAGCUUAUGUCCGUAGUUCGAGACUGAGAGGUCGAUCGAUCACAUUGGGUCUGAAAAAACCCCAAUACGUAUAGUACAGCAGUGAGGAAUAUUGGUCAAUGGCCUAACGGCUGAACCAGCAACUUGGGGGAAUGGAUAUAUAUAUUAGAUAUAAUAUAUAAUACCGACUCUGUCGGAUAAAGUUCUAGAUAGAAGAAUGAUAAUGACAAUUUUCUAUCUAUAUGUCUUGACCAAAUCUUGUGCCAGCAGUCGCGGCAACACAAGGGAGACUAGUGUUAUUCAUCUUUAUUAGGUUUAAAGGGUACCUAGACGGUAUAUCAAGCCCCAAAAGGGAACGGGUAUACUAGAGUUUUAUGUGAGAGGCAAAUAUAGUACUAUUGGUGUAGAGAUAAAAUUCAUUGAUACCUCUAGGCACGGGUAACGGCGAAGGCAAUCCUCUAUGUAAAAACUGACGUUGAGGGACGAAGGCUUGGGGAGCGAAUAGGAUUAGAUACCCUAGUAGUCCAGGCAGACAAUUAUGAAUGUCAUAGAUUAGAUUAUAAUAGUAAGAAAUAAGAAAGAGAGUAAGAUAAUUACUAAAAAAAAAAAGGGUUAGAUGUCUUCACCUCCCUAUUUUUUUUGAUCUAUAAAUGAAAGUGUAAGCAUUCCACCUCAAGAGUAAUGCGGCAACGCAGGAACUGAAAUCAUUAGACCGUUUCUGAAACCAGUAGUGAAGUAUGUUAUUUAAUUCGAUGAUCCGC
rnacentral:rRNA from 1 species